rnacentral:rRNA from 1 species
GAUGAACGCUGGCGGCGUGCCUAAUACAUGCAAGUCGAGCGAAUGGAUUAAGAGCUUGCUCUUAUGAAGUUAGCGGCGGACGGGUGAGUAACACGUGGGUAACCUGCCCAUAAGACUGGGAUAACUCCGGGAAACCGGGGCUAAUACCGGAUAACAUUUUGAACCGCAUGGUUCGAAAUUGAAAGGCAGCUUCGGCUGUCACUUAUGGAUGGACCCGGGUCGCAUUAGCUAGUUGGUGAGGUAACGGCUCACCAAGGAAACGAUGCGUAGCCGACCUGAGAGGGUGAUCGGCCACACUGGGACGGAGACACGGCCCAGACUCCUACGGGAGGCAGCAGUAGGGAAUCUUCCGCAAUGGACGAAAGUCUGACGGAGCAACGCCGCGUGAGUGAUGAAGGCUUUCGGGUCGUAAAACUCUGUUGUUAGGGAAGAACAAGUGCUAGUUGAAUAAGCUGGCACCUUGACGGUACCUAACCAGAAAGCCACGGCUAACUACGUGCCAGCCGCCGCCGUAA